rnacentral:rRNA from 1 species
GACGAACGCUGGCGGCGUGCUUAACACAUGCAAGUCGUACGGUAAGGCCCUUUCUGGGGUACACGAGUGGCGCACGGGUGAGUAACACAUGAGUAACCUGCCCACAACUUUGGGAUAACGCUAGGAAACUGGUGCUAAUACUGGAUAUGUGCUCCUGCUGCAUGGUGGGGGUUGGAAAGCUCCGGCGGGUGUGGAUGGACUCGGGGGCUAUCGGCUUGUUGGUGGGGGAGUGGGCUACCAAGGCGGCGGCGGGUAGCCGGCCUGUGAGGGUGACCGGCCACAUUGGGACUGAGAGACGGCCCAGACGCCGACGGGAGGCAGCAGUGGGGAAUAUUGCACCAUGGGCGCCAGCCGGAUGCAGCAACGCCGCGGGCGGGAUGACGGCCUUCGGGUUGUAAACCGCUUUCAGCAGGGACGAAGCGUUUUGUGACGGUACCUGCAGAAGAAGCACCGGCUAACUACGUG